UAGUCGCCAUUGUUGUUAAUGUUUAUAUUUUUAUGUUGAUGUUGAAUGUUUUAUGUUUAUGUUGUUGAUAUUGAAUAUUUUUUAUUGUUGUUCUUCUUGAAUAUUUAUGUUGUUGUUAUUGUUGUUGUUGUUGAAUGUGUAUGAGCAUAUUUGUUUGGUUAAGAUUGAAUAAAUCUUUUGUUAUUGUUGUUGUUGUUUAUGUUAUUAUUGUUGAAUUAAUGUGUAUUAGACACAUUUGUUAUGGAUUUGUUGUUGUUUAUGUUAUUGUUGUUGAAUGUGUAUGUGACACAUUUGUUAUGUUGUUGUUGUUGUUGAAUGUGUAUGGUCACAUUUGUUUGGUUAAGAGAUUGAGUUAAUCUUUUAUUGUUGUUUUUGAAGAUAGAUGGCUUAUUCUUCAUCUAUUAGCGACGAAAUUUAUAUAAAUGAAACUCAUACAAAUGAUUCUCAAACUAUAGACGGAAAAUAGAAAAGAAAACAGAGAGGUGCCACAAUAAUGACAAAAUUAACAAAAUUCUGCAACUCGGAUAUCAAAUUUUCUAUCGAGUUUAAUGUCAUAUAUUUCACAUUAAUGGUACUACUUAUUUUCUUUUUAAGAGUUAUGUUGAAUUCCUUGGACAUAGCAAAGUCAGUCUAUUGAUAGAUGAUUGGAAAAAAGCACAAAAACGUGAAAUAUAGCAUAUAGAUAGACGUUAUGGUAUUAAUUUUAAUAUUCAUCAAUUCGAUAUUAAUUUCUAUAAUUACUAAUACAUACUUAUUGAUGUAAAUGUAUUGAACUUUGAGUUUUUCAAUGAUGAUAAAUUGAAAAAAAAUGGACAACUUAUGUUGGUACAUGCUGGAGGGACUUUAAGUCACGGCUCACGCGUGACUACAGAGAUCCUAAGCCUCCUGAUCUUAAGCAUUUGCGGGUACAACGGCUAAAAUAACCAGGAUAAAUUGAGGCUCGGCUGUGUGUCCCAACACGCGUUUGUAUGACGUGAGGGGGCCAGGGCCAUACUCACAAGGCCAAAAGUCUAUGCUACCUCGUUUGAUAGUUUACAAGGUCGAGGUUCACAACCAUCUGCUUUUAUUUCCCGAAGUCUCAUGUCUCGGGCAUCUUCUUCACGGGGCCACGUGUCCCCUGCUUAUGAAUCCCCUAAAGCUCCUGAAGCCCCAUAAAGCUUAUAAAGCCAAUCAGGGGGAAUCCGUUGUUGAUGUGGAUUCCACUGUAGAUGGUUAUCCAAGAGGCCCAUUUGACACCCUCUUACUUCGUCUCCAUGAAUAACAUGUUGUUAGGCAUGUCUAGGAAAGAGAGGAGUGUCCAUGUUUAAAAUCCGUAAACCACGGAAAGAAGAUUCUAAAAUUGGAACAGACCGAACAUGAUUGGUUCAAAGAUGAUUUUUGCUACUUUAGGCUUGCCUAUUUAUGUGUUAUUGCGUACAAGACCAUAACCCACGGCAUGCAGGCGACAUUUAUAGAGAAAUGGCAUUUAGAAACGUCAUUUUUUCACCUUUCUAUUGGUGAGAUGACCAUCACCAUGGAUUACGUCUCAUGCCCCUUACGUUGAUGUGGUAUAUCUUAAAUAUUUCAUCGACUAAAAGAAGAUUCACGAGAACAACUGAGGACCGUCUGUUUAGUCUACCUGUACACGAAAUUUGGCGAAACAUGUAUUUGGAAGACAAAGAAAUUAACAGGAUGUUGCAUGUUGUUUAU